UAGAGGCCUACCAUGGUGGUAACGGGUAACGGGGUGUUAGGGCACGACACCGGAGAGGGAGCCUGAGAAACGGCUACCACAUCCAAGGAUGGCAGCAGGCGCGCAAAUUACCCAAUCCCGACACGGGGAGGUAGUGACAAUAAAUAACAAUACGGGGUUCUUUCGGAUCUCGUAAUUGGAAUGAGUACAAUUUAAAUCUCUUAACGAGGAACAAUUGGAGGGCAAGUCUGGUGCCAGCAGCCGCGGUAAUUCCAGCUCCAAUAGCGUAUAUUAAAGUUGUUGCAGUUAAAAAGCUCGUAGUUGAAUUUCGGGGUUAGUAGGUUGGUCAUGCCUCUGGUAUGUACUGGUCUCACUGAUUCCUCCUUCCUGAUGAACCGUAAUGCCAUUAAUUUGGUGUUGCGGGGAAUUUGGACUGUUACUUUGAAAAAAUUAGAGUGUUUAAAGCAAGCUAACGCUUGAAUACAUUAGCAUGGAAUAAUGAAAUAGGACGUUCGAUCCUAUUUUGUUGGUUUCUAGGAUUGACGUAAUGAUUAAUAGGGAUAGUUGGGGGCAUUUGUAUUCAAUUGUCAGAGGUGAAAUUCUUGGAUUUAUUGAAGACUAACUACUGCGAAAGCAUUUGCCAAGGAUGUUUUCAUUAAUCAAGAACGAAAGUUAGGGGAUCGAAGACGAUCAGAUACCGUCGUAGUCUUAACCAUAAACUAUGCCGACUAGG
rnacentral:rRNA from 1 species